AACGCACCUUGCGCUCCUUGGUAUUCCGAGGAGCAUGCCUGUUUGAGUGUCAUUAAAUUCUCAACCUUACCAGUUUUUACAAAGCUCGGUCUGGCUUGGACUUGGGGGUAUUUUGCGGGCUUCUAACGAGGUCGGCUCCCCUUAAAUGCAUUAGCGGCGCCCCGCGUGGACCCGUCUAUUGGUGUGAUAAUUAUCUACGCCGUGGACAUCCACUUUAAAAUGGGUUGUGCUGCUUCUAACCGUCCUUCUAUGGACAACACAAAUGACAAUUUGACCUCAAAUCAGGUAGGACUACCCGCUGAACUUAA
rnacentral:misc_RNA from 1 species